CUCUCCCUCCCUCUCUCUCACGAGCACAGCUACCCUUGGAAUUCUUGGUUCUAACUCAACCCUCCAUUCUCUCUCUCUCUCUCUCUCUCUCUCUCUCUCUCUCUCUCUCCACACCCCUUUCCUCAUCUGAAAGUCAAAUGCUCCUCUCUAAUGGGCAGUCAUACCCUCUGUGUUUCUAUAAGAUAAGGUGAAGUUCCCACUAGGAGCAAAUGAGCUCCUGUUCAAACUCUUUUUCUGUUGUCAUUGACAUGUCCUCGCUCUGAUUCUGAUUCCAUUGUGUUCAAUUUCGUUUGGAGAGUUUCUAUGGGGUUUGAUGGCAGACUUAGCUUGAAACUCUUUCCACUACAUGGGAAGAAAAUGUCAUCUUUCAUGUGCUUUUAAUCCGUCGGUGAGAGUGGUUUCCAUGCUGUCCCUUGGCGAGUGAACAGUUGGCUUGUGGGUGAUCCUUUAUUUCGUUGUCUGUUCGACCUUGAACUGUACUUGAGCAUCAUCCGGCUCAUGCUGUUUUUCAUGCUUACGAGGUAAUGCACUAAGCCGGCAUUGGAUUUGCGUCUGCCUAACGGAAACCAUUUCUUCGCAUGGAUGAAUCUUCUCAUGAUUGGAUCUCGGAUAAAAAAAAGGGUUUAUUUGACACUUCUUUUGGAUGAGCCCCUCUUUCUUUUGUGUCUGUUCUUUUGCCCUAGUAGAAGAAAUGAGCCGCUCAUUCACUAGGAACUGCAAUUUUGAGCUAAUUUUUUGUGCCUUUGCAUUUCUAUGCUCUCCUUUCAUUUCCAACGUUCUGCUAGUGGAAGAAUAUCUUUAAGCAUCUAGUGAAAGUCUGGAAAUUAAGGAUUCGCGUGCUUGAUACCUAGAAUGAUGCGAUAUUGGAUCCCUUUGGAAUGUACUUUGAUGAUAUUAGCUUUCUGCCAACUGUGGUGUGUACAUAUUGUAAGUAGCUAGAAUUAUACCUAACUUCUCUACCUGGAAUGGAAUUUCACCUCUUCUUAAGCUUGAGGGCUUGAUUUAAAAACUAGCCAUGAAUACCAGGAUGGACUUGUCGCUUAGCGUUCAAUGUAGAAAGGUGAAAUCUUUGCAAACAGUUUUUGGAUCCCUUUGGAAUGUAGAUAGUCAAACAUUUUGCCACUAGGAAUACGGAAGUUUCUUUGGCGAUCCCAAUGUUCGUUCUUUUCUCAGUUGGUGUUAUAAGGUUUCAAAAUAUACCAAAAUUUAGAAAGAUCAUAGUACUUACUAUCUCAUGCAUCACAUGAUAUUUACUACAAGCACAUCAUCUGACAAUCUGAGUACUACAAGUUAAUGCAUAGAAAUUUAUUGUGGCAUUAUCUGACCGCAGAAGAUGUUGAAUUUUGGUUAGCUUCAUGUACUUUGCAUUAAAUAACUUCUCCAAAUUUCGUGUGUCCGUUCUUGAGAGGAUAAUUGGGUAUUAGCUUCAAUUUAACUUGAACCGGUGUCGCUCCUGUACUGGGCUAAUGUCGUAAAAUGUUAAGGCAAAAAUAUCUGCUCAACCAUAUAGUUUUCCGGAAGACAGGAGAAACAAAUAAUUACCAUCGAAUCGAGUUGAGUCGAUUCAACUAUAAAACUACUGAAAGGUUUAAUGUGAGAGUGAGUUGUUAGAGCGAAGACCAAGGUUGGACAGACAGCGAAAUUGAGGUACAAGCAAGAACUGUUUGCUCGACAAGGGUUUUGCAUGGACACCAAAAACACUCCACUUUUCAAGCGCUCGGUCUAUCGUCCCGGUAAUUGCCUUCUGAAAUGCAUCUAUGUCCAGGUAUUUCUGGGUGUGAGCGUGAUCGCAUGUGUGGGUUUUUUUGCUCGCACAAAUUAAGUGCAGCUCUAGCUCGGAGGAAUCUUCAUGAGUUGUGCUAAUUAGGAGCUAAAUCCUUGUAAGUUCUCAAGUCCCAACAUUGAUGACAUGAAGCUAAACCAGGAUUUCAACUUAUGGGACGGCUAUGUCUGAAAAAAAAAAAAAAAAACUAACUUGAUUAAUGACUGUGAUAUGAUUGUGUUUCAUGUAUAGCUAAUGAAUUUAUGCACUAUAGUUCUUUAGAAAUGCCUCGUCAAUUGCCGUGGGGUUUUAUUGUUUGGUGGAUUUUCCAUCGUUUUUUCCCAUUGUCAUUGUUAUUAUGGUGGACAUUUGAUCUAUGAGAAGUUUAGGGCACCAAUUAGAGAUGAAGUGAAGUGUGCAUGAGAAAUUUCACCCACCUUUCUGGCUAUCUUAAGCCAAGUGACUGCAUGUCGCUAUAUAAAGUCCAGAGAUUGUGUACAAUCCACAGAGAAUCUUUUUUCUCCA